rnacentral:rRNA from 1 species
ACUGCGCCUGGGGACUACGGCCGCAAGGCUAAAACUCAAAGGAAUUGACGGGGACCCGAACAAGCGGUGGAGCAUGUGGUUUAAUUCGAUGCAACGCGAAGAACCUUACCUGGUCUUGACAUCCUGCGAACUUUAUAGAGAUAGAUUGGUGCCUUCGGGAACGCAGUGACAGGUGCUGCACGGCUGUCGUCAGCUCGUGUUGUGAAUUGUUGGGUUAAGUCCCGCAACGAGCGCAACCCCUAUUUAUAGUUACCAUCAUU